rnacentral:lncRNA from 1 species
UUAAUGUAAGCUGUAAACCCAGUUCUGGAAGAGGUUAUUAAGUAUCCAACCUACUGGAAUUGGUAUGAAGUCAGAAAUGUUUCUAUAAUUCUUUAUUAUUUUAGUGUUUUUAUUCCAAGGUUGGUAGACAAAAUGGCUAGUGGUAAUCUUAGGCAUGUCUUUUUUAUUUUGUUAAUGCAGAUUCCUUUAAUUGUAGUAGUCCUAACAGAUGAGAAAAUGACAGCAGAAGGACGUAAAGAUCUUUAUAGUUGGAUGACAAAAUAACUUGGGGGAUUAAGCGACUCUGUGGAUGCUAUAUAUACAUCUACUAAAACCUGCAAGCAAUGAUGGUGACUCAUUUAAGAUUCUCAUCAGGUUCAAGUAAUUACAUAUGUUUGUAAUGACUUUAUAUAUUUAUACUGCUAUGAAUCUUUUCAGGUUCAAAUCAAUAGUCAAUAGAUAUGCGAGAAACAAGUGAAUGAUGAAUUUCUGAGAGAUUGAGAGUUAGUGGACUAGAAACGGUACGUAUCAUGUAGUAUUAGCUUGUUCUAUUUAUGGCUAGAAGCCUAGAAUCUAAAUGGUCCUGUACAUUUGUUCUCAGAUUGAGAAGAACUUCAAAAGAUAUUCAAGGCCUACACUAGUUCUUAUUCUUUAAAAGGUAAGACCAGAGUUUGUUCAAGGUACCUGCUUGUCUGAUUAACAUGUUCUCUCCUCUCGGUUUCCUUUUUCUGCCCAUGCUAACAAUUUGUUACCAGAACCAUAGAUUCUUGUAAUGAUUUUGUGCUGUAAUCUAGUACAGCUGCCACCUGAGAUGCUACACCCAAACUAUUGGGUGCUUUACACAAGAGUUUUUUGCUAAGGUGGUACAAUUUUCUUUAAUACUUCUACUUUGUCUACCUUGUGUUUGUUAGAAAACAUAUUAAUAACCAAGUUUAACUGUUUUAUUUCUGUUUGCAGACGUCCAAAGGAUUUAGUAAUCCUGCACUACUAAGUACGCUUGAUGCUGAAUAUGAGAAAAUCACCUUUUCAGGUACAAUUUUGUGUGGAUGGUUGUUAUUUUUGGAUUUCUUGUUUCUCUUGUUGUACUUAUAUUCUGCUCAUUAGGGGACUUCGACUUCCAAGAGAGUUGCUAAGAGCUAGAAAAGAUAUGAGUAGCAAGAUUACCCCCAUCUUUUUAAGAGCUUUGAAACUCAUGACUGGAAGGUGCUUACAUAUUGGAAAUCUUCUUCGUUAUGUAAACCUAACAAUACGUUUUGUUGAAAUUUAUAGUAAGCUUUAAAAUUGGAACUGAGUCUUUUCUACUUUUGUAGAAGCGUUUGGAGUCAAUGGAAAAGCUGUAAACCAACUUCUAGAAGAGGUUAUUAAACAUAGCCAACCAAAUGGAAUUGGUAUGAAGUCAAAAUCUCUUAUAUAAUUCUAAUAUAUGAGUGUUUUUAUUCCGUAGUUGCUAAACAUGUCCUUUUUAUUAUGUUAAUGCAUAUUCCUUAAAUUGUAAUAGCCCUAACAGAUGAGAAAAUGACAACAGAAGGACGUAAAGAUCUUUAUCGUUGCAUGAAAAAAUAGCUUGGUGGAUUAAGCGACUAUGUGGAUGCUAUAUAUACAUCCACUCAAACCUGCAAACAAUGAUGGU